GAUGAACGCUGGCGGCGUGCCUAAUACAUGCAAGUCGAGCGAACAGACGAGGAGCUUGCUCCUCUGACGUUAGCGGCGGACGGGAGAGUAACACGUGGAUAACCUACCUAUAAGACUGGGAUAACUUCGGGAAACCGGAGCUAAUACCGGAUAAUAUAUUGAACCGCAUGGUUCAAUAGUGAAAGACGGUUUUGCUGUCACUUAUAGAUGGAUCCGCGCCGCAUUAGCUAGUUGGUAAGGUAACGGCUUACCAAGGCAACGAUGCGUAGCCGACCGGAGAGAGUGAUAGGCGGCCCUGGAGGUGGACCGGGGACAAGAGGACUACGAGACGGAGCAGAAGGGAAUGGUCGGCAGUGGUCGAAAAUAUGGCAGAACAACGGGGAGUGAGAUACGAAGGCGUCGGGAGCGGGAUGCUGGCCUAUUGGUUGUAAACAGAUGUGUGCGUAGCUAUAGACGUCGUGACGGUACCUGAACAAGAAGCACCGGCUAACUACGUG
rnacentral:rRNA from 1 species